UACAGAGGGGGCAAGCGUUAUUCGGAAUUAUUGGGCGUAAAGGGCGCGUAGGCGGCGUCUCAAGUGGAUGGUGAAAUCCCCGGGCUUAACCUGGGAACUGCCGUCCAAACUGAGAGGCUUGAGUCCGGGAGAGGUAAGUGGAAUUCCCAGUGUAGCGGUGAAAUGCGUAGAUAUUGGGAAGAACACCAAUGGCGAAGGCAGCUCUCUGGGACGGUACUGACGCUGAGGAGCGAAAGCGUGGGGAGCAAACAGG
rnacentral:rRNA from 1 species